rnacentral:rRNA from 1 species
GCUUAACGCGAAGAACCUUACCAGGUCUUGACAUCCCACUGACCGUCCUAGAGAUAGGGCUUCCCUUCGGGGCAGUGGUGACAGGUGGUGCAUGGUUGUCGUCAGCUCGUGUCGUGAGAUGUUGGGUUAAGUCCCGCAACGAGCGCAACCCUUAUCUUUAGUUGCCAGCAUUCAGUUGGGCACUCUAGAGAGACUGCCGUCGACAAGACGGAGGAAGGCGGGGAUGACGUCAAAUCAUCAUGCCCCUUAUGACCUGGGCUACACACGUGCUGCAAUGGCUGGUACAACGGGAUGCUAACUCGCGAGAGUACGCCAAUCUCUUAAAACCAGUCUCAGUUCGGAUUGCAGGCUGCAACUCGCCUGCAUGAAGUCGGAAUCGCUAGUAACGGUGAGUCAGCUAUAUUACCGUGAAUACGUUCCCGGGUCUUGUACACACCG